ACAGUUUUGUAGUCAGCAUCGGUGAUCUGAUUUCCUUCAUCACUGUAUCAAACUCCAACAACAACAGCAUCUGCUUGAAGAAACAGAACUUUCCACCAAAACCCCUUUAUUUUUUAACAGCAGAAUGAAGAAUGAGACAUCUGAUCUUUGAAACAGUCUGAAACUUUGGCUCUUACGUUUCUGGUGGAAACUUGUCCUUCUGACAUCUUCAUGAGAAAUUGUGGAUGCAUCGUCAUGGUACCAUGGACAUUCAGAGCAUUUUUACUGAAAACCAUGACAAGUCACCCACUGGAAUAUGACAGCCAUGCUGUAAUGAAAGGAACCCCACGCUGCAUUUCUAACCACGUGUGAAAUUGCACAAAGGGUGAUGUCUCUGCUGCCUGUAGUUCAUAAAUCUCCAGCAGAACAUAGCCAAGUGGUAAUCUUAUGCUCAGAUUUCAUCCAUGCAUCUCAGUUAAAAUAAAAAAAAAAAAAAUACCCUGCAUGGGCAUAUUCCUGUCUGCUUUGAGAGCAGCAAAGUAUUGCAGUUCAGAAGCUAAUACUUUAUAACACUACAAAAAUUAAAGAACAGACUUUAGUGGAAUGUAAACAUUGUCCAUAAUAUAGGGUAAGAUAUAAUGUAUUACAUUAUACUAAAAUGCUAAGUAUAAUUCACGAUAAUAUAUCGUUAGCUGUAAGAAGUUGUUUAGACUUGCUGUAUCAUAACAAAUAAAACAAAGGGACUCUGUCAA